CCUACGGGGGGCUGCAGUGAGGAAUAUUGGUCAAUGGCCGAAAGGCUGAACCAGCCAAGUCGCGUGAGGGAAGACGGCCCUACGGGUUGUAAACCUCUUUUGUCGGGGAGCAAAAAGAGGCACGUGUGACUCAUUGAGAGUACCCGAAGAAAAAGCAUCGGCUAACUCCGUGCCAGCAGCCGCGGUAAUACGGAGGAUGCGAGCGUUAUCCGGAUUUAUUGGGUUUAAAGGGUGCGUAGGCGGAGGUUCAAGUCAGCGGUGAAAUCGCGGGGCUCAACCCCGUACUGCCGUUGAAACUGCAUGCCUUGAGUGCGCGAGAGGUAUGCGGAAUGUGUGGUGUAGCGGUGAAAUGCUUAGAUAUCACGCAGAACUCCGAUUGCGAAGGCAGCAUACCGGCGCGCAACUGACGCUGAUGCACGAAAGCGUGGGUAUCGAACAGGAUUAGAUACCCCGGUAGUC
rnacentral:rRNA from 1 species